CACCCACCCAAUUUCAAGAACCAGCAAAUAUGUUCUUCAAUUCAACCAAAUUAAUAGAAUCCGGUAAAGCUUUAGAAACUUAGAAAAGACUACUGUGUAUUCACGGAGCCCUUUCACGAGCUUGGAGCGCCACUCGCCUCUGCAUUCAAGAAGGCAACUUCUCCUUUUGGCGGAAAGCUUUCAUUGCUU